rnacentral:lncRNA from 10 species
GGAAAGUCUGUGCUGCGCCUUCUUCCUCCCUCUGUGUGCUCGUCCUGCCCCUGCCAGCAGCCCCAUCCACGUUCAGGGAGGCAGGGAGGAAGGGAGUCCAGGCUGGCCAAAGGCCUUGGGGCCAGCAGACACUUCCAGAAAAGACCAUAUGGAAGAGUUGUGAAGAUGGACAGUGGUGACAGCUACACAACAAUGUGAAGGUUUUCACACGCACUGCAGAGUUUCCAGAGAUAAAGCCCCACAACCAGAGAUGGCAAAGCACCUCCUUUCUCUGCCUCCAGAGAGGAGAAUUCAGCCGAGCAGGAAACUACGGAGUCUCUGAUUGGCUUCUGAGAGCUGGAGCAGUUUGUGAGUGUCAGGGACCCAGGAACCUCAGCCCCAGGCUGUCAUUCCCUUCGGCUUCUGGCUCAGUCCUGCUGCAUCUUAUAAGGCCCCUGGGUGAACUAGGGGCUGGGAGGUGGUGCGUUACCCCUAGAGCAGCUGGGCCCACAGGCUCACCAGGCUGAGGGAGUGUGGCCUCACGAUCAAGAGCAGGGGAUUUUGAGGUCAGACAGGACUGGGAGCAAAUCUCAGCCCUGCAGCUUCCUGCUGUGGGACUGUAGAUAAAUGACUGGGUUUCUCUGGGCCUGCAAAGCUCUCAAUAAACAGGAGCAGCCAGCAGCAGGACUGGAGUCCACAGGUGAUCUGUCUCUGACCUCAGGUGUCCACAACCAUCCUCUCAGAAGACAGGCAAGCAAGGCAGCUCUCCUGCCCCUCAGCACUGGCCACGCUGGGACACAGUGGGACACCAGGACUUUAAGCCAUCCUUUAGGCCAAAGAAUCCCCACAUAACAAAUUCAUUGUGUGCAAUAAAGAAC